GGCCGGAUGGUUUAGUUGGUCAUAACGUCUGCUUAACAAUGGAUUAUAUAAUCCAGAUCGCAGAAGGUCGGGAGUUCGAACCUCCCUCUGGUCA
rnacentral:tRNA from 1 species